rnacentral:rRNA from 1 species
UUAAGCGACUAAGCGUACACGGUGGAUGCCCUGGCAGUCAGAGGCGAUGAAGGACGUGCUAAUCUGCGAUAAGCGCCGGUAAGGUGAUAUGAACCGUUAUAACCGGCGAUUUCCGAAUGGGGAAACCCAGUGUGAUUCGUCACACUAUCAUUAACUGAAUCCAUAGGUUAAUGAGGCGAACCGGGGGAACUGAAACAUCUAAGUACCCCGAGGAAAAGAAAUCAACCGAGAUUCCCCCAGUAGCGGCGAGCGAACGGGGAGGAGCCCAGAGCCUGAAUCAGCAUGUGUGUUAGUGGAAGCGUCUGGAAAGGCGCGCGAUACAGGGUGACAGCCCCGUACACAAAAGCGCAUGUGUUGUGAGCUCGAUGAGUAGGGCGGGACACGUGGUAUCCUGUCUGAAUAUGGGGGGACCAUCCUCCAAGGCUAAAUACUCCUGACUGACCGAUAGUGAACCAGUACCGUGAGGGAAAGGCGAAAAGAACCCCGGCGAGGGGAGUGAAAAAGAACCUGAAACCGUGUACGUACAAGCAGUGGGAGCUGAGGGAAAGGCGAAAAGAACCCCGGCGAGGGGAGUGAAAAAGAACCUGAAACCGUGUACGUACAAGCAGUGGGAGCCCCACCACUAAGCCAGUGGUGAACUCCACAUACGCAUCCUUUGCUGAGGAUACGGUUAACGGAGCGCAAGCGACGUUCAACCGCAAAAGAAGCAGAGGGGGCUUAGUGGUGGGGUGACUGCGUACCUUUUGUAUAAUGGGUCAGCGACUUAUAUUCUGUAGCAAGGUUAACCGUAUAGGGGAGCCGGAGGGAAACCGAGUCUUAAUUGGGCGUUAAGUUGCAGGGUAUAGACCCGAAACCCGGUGAUCUAGCCAUGGGCAGGUUNAGGGAAACCGAGUCUUAAUUGGGCGUUAAGUUGCAGGGUAUAGACCCGAAACCCGGUGAUCUAGCCAUGGGCAGGUUGAAGGUUGGGUAACACUAACUGGAGGACCGAACCGACUAAUGUUGAAAAAUUAGCGGAUGACCUGUGGCUGGGGGUGAAAGGCCAAUCAAACCGGGAGAUAGCUGGUUCUCCCCGAAAGCUAUUUAGGUAGCGCCUCGUGAAUUCAUCUCCGGGGGUAGAGCACUGUUUCGGCUAGGGGGCCAUCCCGGCUUACCAACCCGAUGCAAACUGCGAAUACCGGAGAAUGUUAUCACGGGAGACACACGGCGGGUGCUAACGUCCGUCGUGAAGAGGGAAACAACCCAGACCGCCAGCUAAGGUCCCAAAGUCAUGGUUAAGUGGGAAACGAUGUGGGAAGGCCCAGACAGCCAGGAUGUUGGCUUAGAAGCAGCCAUCAUUUAAAGAAAGCGUAAUAGCUCACUGGUCGAGUCGGCCUGCGCGGAAGAUGUAACGGGGCUAAACCAUGCACCGAAGCUGCGGCAGCGAGUAAUAGCUCACUGGUCGAGUCGGCCUGCGCGGAAGAUGUAACGGGGCUAAACCAUGCACCGAAGCUGCGGCAGCGAACGUAUCACUUAAAGCGAUUCAGCGGGUUACGAUUGACGGAGCGAAGCGACGUCAAAGCGUAUACAAAGUCGAGUCGGUUUAAGGAUACGUUCGUUGGGUAGGGGAGCGUUCUGUAAGCCUGUGAAGGUGUGUCGUGAGGCAUGCUGGAGGUAUCAGAAGUGCGAAUGCUGUUGGGUAGGGGAGCGUUCUGUAAGCCUGUGAAGGUGGCCUGUGAGGGUUGCUGGAGGUAUCAGAAGUGCGAAUGCUGACAUAAGUAACGAUAAAGCGGGUGAAAAGCCCGCUCGCCGGAAGACCAAGGGUUCCUGUCCAACGUUAAUCGGGGCAGGGUGAGUCGACCCCUAAGGCGAGGCCGAAAGGCGUAGUCGAUGGGAAACGGGUUAAUAUUCCCGUACUUGGUGUUACUGCGAAGGGGGGACGGAGAAGGCUAUGUUGGCCGGGCGACGGUUGUCCCGGUUUAAGCGUGUAGGUGUGUGUUCCAGGUAAAUCCGGUUCACUUUAACACUGAGGCGUGAUGACGAGGCACUACGGUGCUGAAGCAACAAAUGCCCUGCUUCCAGGAAAAGCCUCUAAGCAUCAGGUAACAUCAAAUCGUACCCCAAACCGACACAGGUGGUCAGGUAGAGAAUACCAAGGCGCUUGAGAGAACUCGGGUGAAGGAACUAGGCAAAAUGGUGCCGUAACUUCGGGAGAAGGCACGCUGACAUGUAGGUGAAGUGAUUUACUCAUGGAGCUGAAGUCAGUCGAAGAUACCAGCUGGCUGCAACUGUUUAUUAAAAACACAGCACUGUGCAAACACGAAAGUGGACGUAUACGGUGUGACGCCUGCCCGGUGCCGGAAGGUUAAUUGAUGGGGUCAGCGCAAGCGAAGCUCCUGAUCGAAGCCCCGGUAAACGGCGGCCGUAACUAUAACGGUCCUAAGGUAGCGAAAUUCCUUGUCGGGUAAGUUCCGACCUGCACGAAUGGCGUAAUGAUGGCCAGGCUGUCUCCACCCGAGACUCAGUGAAAUUGAACUCGCUGUGAAGAUGCAGUGUACCCGCGGCAAGACGGAAAGACCCCGUGAACCUUUACUAUAGCUUGACACUGAACAUUGAGCCUUGAUGUGUAGGAUAGGUGGGAGGCUUUGAAGCGUGGACGCCAGUCUGCAUGGAGCCGACCUUGAAAUACCACCCUUUAAUGUUUGAUGUUCUAACGUGGACCCGUGAUCCGGGUUGCGGACAGUGUCUGGUGGGUAGUUUGACUGGGGCGGUCUCCUCCUAAAGAGUAACGGAGGAGCACGAAGGUUGGCUAAUCCUGGUCGGACAUCAGGAGGUUAGUGCAAUGGCAUAAGCCAGCUUGACUGCGAGCGUGACGGCGCGAGCAGGUGCGAAAGCAGGUCAUAGUGAUCCGGUGGUUCUGAAUGGAAGGGCCAUCGCUCAACGGAUAAAAGGUACUCCGGGGAUAACAGGCUGAUACCGCCCAAGAGUUCAUAUCGACGGCGGUGUUUGGCACCUCGAUGUCGGCUCAUCACAUCCUGGGGCUGAAGUAGGUCCCAAGGGUAUGGCUGUUCGCCAUUUAAAGUGGUACGCGAGCUGGGUUUAGAACGUCGUGAGACAGUUCGGUCCCUAUCUGCCGUGGGCGCUGGAGAACUGAGGGGGGCUGCUCCUAGUACGAGAGGACCGGAGUGGACGCAUCACUGGUGUUCGGGUUGUCAUGCCAAUGGCACUGCCCGGUAGCUAAAUGCGGAAGAGAUAAGUGCUGAAAGCAUCUAAGCACGAAACUUGCCCCGAGAUGAGUUCUCCCUGAGACUUAAAGUCUCCUGAAGGAACGUUGAAGACGACGACGUUGAUAGGCCGGGUGUGUAAGCGCAGCGAUGCGUUGAGCUAACCGGUACUAAUGAACCGUGAGGCUUAACCUU